UACGGAGGGUGCAAGCGUUGUCCGGAUUUAUUGGGUUUAAAGGGUGCGUAGGCGGAUAUUUAAGUCAGUGGUGAAAGUUUACGGCUCAACCGUAAAAUUGCCAUUGAUACUGGAUAUCUUGAGUAUAGUUGAGGUAGGCGGAAUUCAUGGUGUAGCGGUGAAAUGCAUAGAUACCAUGAAGAACACCUAUAGCGAAGGCAGCUUACUAAACUAUAACUGACGCUGAGGCACGAAAGCGUGGGGAGCGAACAGG
rnacentral:misc_RNA from 1 species